GUAGGGAAUUUUCGGCAAUGGGCGCAAGCCUGACCGAGCAACGCCGCGUGAGUGAUGAAGGUCUUCGGAUCGUAAAGCUCUGUUGUAAGGGAAGAACGUCUCUGUAAGAAACAGGGAGUGACGGUACCUUACCAGAAAGCCACGGCUAACUACGUGCCAGCAGCCGCGGUAAUACGUAGGUGGCAAGCGUUAUCCGGAAUUAUUGGGCGUAAAGGGUGCGUAGGCGGCUUGUUAAGUUUAUGGUGAAAGCGUGGGGCUUAACCCCAUUAAGCCAUAGAUACUGGCAGGCUAUAGUGUAGAAGAGGGCAGUGGAAUGCCAUGUGUAGCGGUAAAAUGCGUAGAUAUAUGGAGGAACACCAGUGGCGAAGGCGGCUGCCUAGUCUACAACUGACGCUGAGGCACGAAAGCGUGGGGAGCAAAUAGGAUUAGAAACCCUUGUAGUCC
rnacentral:rRNA from 1 species